rnacentral:misc_RNA from 1 species
GAUGAAGAACGCAGCGAAAUGCGAUACGUAAUGUGAAUUGCAAAUUCAGUGAAUCAUCGAGUCUUUGAACGCACAUUGCGCCCCCUGGUAUUCCGGGGGGCAUGCCUGUCCGAGCGUCAUUGCUGCCCUCAAGCACGGCUUGUGUGUUGGGCCCCGUCCUCCGACCCCGGGGGACGGGCCCGAAAGGCAGCGGCGGCACCGCGUCCGGUCCUCGAGCGUAUGGGGCUUUGUCACCCGCUCUGUAGGCCCGGCCGGCGCUUGCCGAUCAACCCAAAUUUUUAUCCAGGUUGACCUCGGAUCAGGUAGGGAUACCCGCUGAACUUAAGCAUAUCAUAAGCGGAGGA